AAUGAACGUUGGCGGCGUGGAUUAGGCAUGCAAGUCGUGCGGAAAGGCUCCUUCGGGAGUACUCGAGCGGCGAAAGGGAGAGUAACGCGUGGAUACUUACCCCCUGGUCCGGGAUAGCGGCGGGAAACUGCCGGUAAUACCGGAUGAUAUCUCCGGAUCAAAGGUGUGAUUCCGCCGGGGGAUGGGUCCGCGUCCUAUUAGCCUGUUGGUGGGGUAACGGCCUACCAAAGCUGAGAUGGGUACCGGGUGUGAGAGCAUGGCCCGGCUCACUGGGACUGAGACACUGCCCAGACACCUACGGGUGGCUGCAGUCGAGAAUCUUCGGCAAUGGGCGCAAGCCUGACCGAGCGACGCCGCGUGCGGGAUGAAGGCCCUCGGGUUGUAAACCGCUGUCAGAGGUGCGGAAAUGCAUGGGGGUUCUCCCCGAUGUUUGACCUACCCUCAGAGGAAGUACGGGCUAAGUUCGUG
rnacentral:rRNA from 1 species